UCUAAGAUUUGAUGUUUGAUUGGGAAGUUACUGAUGAGUUUUGAUAUGAUGUAUUAUCAUGUUUACUUGAUUUCUCUAAGGCCGGUUGAAUAGACUUGUGUUUAUCAAUACUGCUGGAUUCGUAGGCAUAUAGAUUAGUUGCAUUUCAUUGCAUUGCAUUAUGUUGUGUUGCUUGGGGACAAGCAACGGUUUAAGUUUGGG
rnacentral:lncRNA from 1 species